GACGAACGCUGGCGGCGUGCUUAACACAUGCAAGUCGAACGAUGAAGAAGAGAAACGCGAACUUCGGUUCAAAUUUCACUUCGGAUUAGUGGCAGACGGGUGAGUAACGCGUGAGCAACCUACCUCUUACAAAGGGAUAGCCUCGGGAAACCGUGAUUAAUACCAUAUGACACAUUCAUAAGGCAUCUUAAGAAUGUUAAAGCUACGGCGGUAAGAGAUGGGCUCGCGUCCCAUUAGCUAGUUGGUGAGGUAACGGCCCACCAAGGCGACGAUGGGUAACCGGCCUGAAAGGGUGAACGGUCACAUUGGAACUGAGACACGGUCCAAACUCCUACGGGAGGCAGCAGUGGGGAAUAUUGCACAAUGGAGGGAACUCUGAUGCAGCGACGCCGCGUGAGCGAUGAAGGAAUUAGUUUCGUAAAGCUCUGUUCUAUGGGAAGAAAAGGACUGUACCAUAGGAGAAAGCCCCGGCUAAAUACGUG
rnacentral:rRNA from 1 species